UAUAGACGCUUCAUCAUCAACCAUGUGGACAAAUGAUUUGUCUGCAGAAGUCAUCAAUUUUACACAAUCAUGGAGGUCUCUGUCUGACUUGGACAGCUGGCUAAGACCGAUCAUUCCCCUCCUACGCA